UCUGUUUUCUAACACUCUUAUAGAUACUUCUCUGUCCAUCGGUCUGUCCUGCCAACUCUGGUGUGAGUGUGAAGUGGCAAGAGGGAUUUCCUAUUCCUCUUUGACCUGGUGGACACCUACUUUCUUAGGAAAAUGGUG